rnacentral:lncRNA from 1 species
CCAAUUCAAGCUUAUAAUUUACAUUAAUAGAAAUCGAAGUACGAAGUCUCAAUACACCAAACUAGAUCAAAACGAAUACAAUCCAAAUACAACAUGUUCCAUCCGAGGAAUAGCGUGAGUACAAGUCAAAAUCAAAUAGCUAGUCUAUGCUAGACUUUACAUAUCUCACACCUCGCUCGUACCCCUGAAAGGAAAACAAAUGGAGUGGAAUGAGCUAAAAGCCCAGUGAGGUUCCAAAUAGCAAAUUGACCAUUAUUUAUAAGUACGAGUUUUCGAUAUAGCAAAGUAACGAGCAUAAAGUGUUCAUAAAUGUGAACAGUAACACGUCAAGUAGCAAUCUUAAAAUGAGCGAAUGUAGAAAAUUUUUCAAAAGAAACAAUAAUCCAAUAAACAAUAAUUACUCCAAAGUAUAAGGAUACGGAUGACUCUCAGGAGCCAAAUUCCCAUUACAUUACCAGAAGCUUGAUUCCGUAGUAGUUGACACUCCGUCAACUUUCAAGUAAGUAACCAAUCCAGUAGAACACCACUUAAACGACUCUCCGUCCACCGUUCAACCCCCAGCUGGGCCCAAAAUCCUCAAGAACACGGGUGGUAAUACUCGAGUAUACCGAUUAGUCGAGGAGAUAUCACUCCACUCGACAAUACAAGAGACCCAGGGUUCGUUACCCAAUCGACCAAGCCCUUGCCGGCUCGACUAGAGUAACUCGCCACAGGGUUUCUGGAAUUCCAGGAAGUGCGCGCAUCAUAAACAAGGAUAUCAAGUCAAUUGCAACAAUAAACAAGUAUAUCACGUAAGGGCAAGUGCGAUAAAGUACACUCUUGCCCUUACAAUUCACGUAUAUAACAUGUAAUCAGAUUGGUCACGUAUCAAGUUCAAGUAUCAAGUUCAAUUCGGUAUUUGAAAGCACUCACCCAAAAGAUAUAGUGCUACUGGUCACUUUCAGGUUAUACUCCGAGUUCGGAGUCCAAAUCUGCGAUAAAACUCAAUUUGAGAACUUUGAAACAUGACUAGAGUUCGAAACUUAGACGUUUCGUUCAAUAAGAAUCAAGAAAUUGAAAUUCACUUGGAGAAUACUCGUGAGAUACUCGCUCACUUUUUAAAUGAUAAAACUUUUUAACAUUUAUACUUGAAAUGGUCAUGCGAGUCGAAAGUACAAGGGAAAACGUACUUUGAGCAAUCAUUAUUUCAUUUCUCAAGGGUACAAGUUCGGCCAAGUCCUUACUUAUAUACCUCGGAACACGCAGACUCAAGUACCCUAGAUGGUUCAAGCAGUAAUCACUCUUAACCCAUACUCGAGUUGCAAGUAGUUCUCUAGUCUUCGAGCGUAAAUUUGGGCAGCAUGCCCUUUGUGUUUACCUAAUUUUCCAGCCAUUUAGGCUUCAUUAUUUUUCUUCAACACCACCCAACAUCAUACAUAUCAGCAAUUUAUGUCAAGAGCCAUUCCAUAGGCUCACAAUAUCAUAAUAGUAAGAUUCACAUCAAUAGCAAGUGCAGAAAUUCCAUAUAGCCAAAAGACAGAUUUGACGUAUAAAAGCGGAAAUAACUUAUCUGAGGCUACGCUUAUCGGAUUAAGACGAAACCUAUGGCGUUUCGAAGCUAAGACUCAGGGCUACAAUGUUCAUGAAUAUCACUAAGUCCAGUUUCUAAUGUAACUUGGUCAAAUUCGCCAAUUACUAAACCAGAAACCAAUUCAUCGGCUGUUUAAACGUAUUAUGCUGUAGCGGACCUAACUCAGUGUACACAAGUCCGAAUCAGGUUUUCUUUGAGGCAUUUUAAAGCUACUUCAGAACAAUACAACUUUCAUGUUUCGGCCCAGAGCUAAAUCAGAAUGGAUCCUGGUCAAAAAUCGUGAUAAACUGGACUGAACUGAAGAAACGGACUGCUGGGAAAUUCUUAAAACAGUAGGGGUAUUUUGGACUUUUCACGUUCUGCGUUGCUCCGAUUGAGUUGAAAUUUUGUAGGAACCUAUAAAAUACCAUUCUCUACAACUUUUAUUCUUUAACCUAAGGCCAAAACAGCCUCUAACAUAUAGAUAAAAAUUCGGACAGAAUGUUGGGACCAUAUUCCAGAUUUUGGAAAUUUUGAGUUUCUAGUGAAUCUUUCCUUAAUUUCUUGGUCCAAUCACUACCAAAACACCAUAUCACACCUCAAUUGCAACAUAUAAACAUCAUACAACCAUUUGGGCAGAAUUUCCAUAAGCCCUAGUGCAUCAAAUAAAUUGGGGAAAACUACUAAAACAUGCUCAUCAUCCAUAAUCUCACCAUAAAAUCAAGUUACUAGGCUUAAUUUAACAAGAUUAGAAGUAAAACUUGGAGAGAUAAACUCUCUUACCUUGAAUAGAGAUCACAAAGAGUAGCCCAAGCUUCCUCCUUCCAAAGCUUACCACAAAUCACCACCUAGUCACUUAGGAACAAGUUUAAUCGGUUUACUUUGUUUAUUUUCUCACUAAAUUGUUGGAUUUGAAGAUGAAAUGAAGAAAUUUCCCUUGGUGUUUUCUUCCCUCUCCCUCUCGG